GAGUUUGAUCCUGGCUCAGAUUGAACGCUGGCGGCAUGCCUUACACAUGCAAGUCGAGCGGCAGCGCGGGGGCAACCCUGGCGGCGAGCGGCGAACGGGUGAGUAAUACAUCGGAACGUGUCCAGUAGUGGGGGAUAACCAGUCGAAAGAUUGGCUAAUACCGCAUACGAUCUACGGAUGAAAGCGGGGGACCGCAAGGCCUCGCGCUAUUGGAGCGGCCGAUGUCGGAUUAGCUAGUUGGCGGGGUAAAAGCCCACCAAGGCGACGAUCCGUAGCUGGUCUGAGAGGACGAUCAGCCACACUGGAACUGAGACACGGUCCAGACUCCUACGGGAGGCAGCAGUGGGGAAUUUUGGACAAUGGGGGCAACCCUGAUCCAGCCAUGCCGCGUGAGUGAAGAAGGCC
rnacentral:rRNA from 1 species